AGGGCUGUAAAUACGUGUUGCUAACACGCUA
rnacentral:tRNA from 1 species